UACGUAGGGUGCAAGCGUUGUCCGGAAUCAUUGGGCGUAAAGGGCGCGUAGGUGGCCUGCUAAGCGUGCGGUGAAAGCUCGGGGCUCAACCCCGAGUCGGCCGUGCGAACUGGUGGGCUUGAGCACUGUAGAGGCAGGCGGAAUUCCGGGUGUAGCGGUGGAAUGCGUAGAGAUCCGGAAGAACACCGGUGGCGAAGGCGGCCUGCUGGGCAGUAGCUGACACUGAGGCGCGACAGCGUGGGGAGCAAACAGG
rnacentral:rRNA from 1 species